CCUACGGGUGGCAGCAGUGAGGAAUAUUGGUCAAUGGGCGCGAGCCUGAACCAGCCAAGUAGCGUGAAGGAUGACUGCCCUACGGGUUGUAAACUUCUUUUAUAAAGGAAUAAAGUGAGGCACGUGUGCCUUUUUGUAUGUACUUUAUGAAUAAGGAUCGGCUAACUCCGUGCCAGCAGCCGCGGUAAUACGGAGGAUGCGAGCGUUAUCCGGAUUUAUUGGGUUUAAGGGGUGCGUAGGUGGUUAAUUAAGUCAGCGGUGAAAGUUUGUGGCUCAACCAUAAAAUUGCCGUUGAAACUGGUUGACUUGAGUAUAUUUGAGGUAGGCGGAAUGCGUGGUGUAGCGGUGAAAUGCUUAGAUAUCACGCAGAACCCCGAUUGCGAAGGCAGCCUGCCAAGCCAUGACUGACGCUGAUGCACGAAAGCGUGGGGAUCAAACAGGAUUAGAUACCCUGGUAGUC
rnacentral:rRNA from 1 species